rnacentral:rRNA from 1 species
UACAGAGGUGGCAAGCGUUGUUCGGAAUUACUGGGCGUAAAGGGCGCGUAGGCGGCCUUCUAAGUCAGACGUGAAAUCCCCCGGCUUAACCUUGGAACUGCGUCGGAUACUGGAUGGCUUGAAUUCGGGAGAGGGAUGCAGAAUUCCAGGUGUAGCGGUGAAAUGCGUAGAUAUCUGGAGGAAUACCGGUGGCGAAGGCGGCAUCCUGGACCGACAUUGACGCUGAGGAGCGAAAGCUAGGGGAGCAAACGGG